rnacentral:rRNA from 1 species
AGUGAACGCUGGCGGCAGGCCUAACACAUGCAAGUCGAGCGGCAGCGGGUCCCCGCGAGGGGAGUGCCGGCGAGCGGCGGACGGGUGAGGAACACAUCGGAAUCUGCCUGGUUGUGGGGGAUAACGUAGGGAAACUUACGCUAAUACCGCAUGCGACCCUGAGUCGACGGACUUGGGGUGAAAGUGAGGGACCUUCGGGCCUCACGCGACCAGAUGAGCCGAUGUCGGAUUAGCUAGUUGGC